rnacentral:rRNA from 1 species
AGACAUCUGGCCUUAUACAACAUUGCUCGCAAUAAGAAUAAUAAUAUUGCGCAAGUGCCCAGUUCAUCCCCGCCGAAUAUUUCGUUUAGGCGGGAAUUGAUUGGCCCCCGACUUGUGUCAUGGCAUAAUCUUUUAUCCCGACUGGAUUCGAUUAACCUGACACAAGGCCGGGAUGUGUUUCGCUGGAACCUUACUACAUCUGGGUCUUUCACUGUACACUCUAUGUAUCGUGCGCUCACACAUUCUGAGGUACCAGUGAGUAAUAACAAGAAAAUUCGGAAGUCCAAGAUUCCACUAAAAGUGAAAAAUUUCAUGUGGUAUAUUCGUAAGGGAGUUGUGUUUACCAAAGACAAUCUCGCACGGUGCAACUGGCAAGGGAGUAAGAAGUGUUCUUUGUGUACUUAUGACGAGACAAUCAAACACCUCCUUUCCUAA